rnacentral:rRNA from 1 species
UACGUAGGGUGCAAGCGUUGUCCGGAAUUAUUGGGCGUAAAGAGCUCGUAGGCGGUUUGUCGCGUCUGCUGUGAAAACGCGAGGCUCAACCUCGCGCCUGCAGUGGGUACGGGCAGACUAGAGUGCGGUAGGGGAGAUUGGAAUUCCUGGUGUAGCGGUGGAAUGCGCAGAUAUCAGGAGGAACACCAAUAGCGAAGGCAGCUCGCUGGGAAGUUCCUGACACUGAGGCGCGAAAGCGUGGGGAGCGAACAGG